rnacentral:tRNA from 1 species
GCCUCAGUAGCUUAGCGGUUUGAGCACGCGGCUGUUAACCGCGCGGUCGCAGGUUCAAAUAGUUGACGACUAGGCAACGACCAAAAGCAUCAGCUUGAUUGUCCUGCCUGAGGCG